rnacentral:rRNA from 1 species
AUUGAACGCUGGCGGCAUGCCUUACACAUGCAAGUCGAACGGCAGCACGGGAGCUUGCUCCUGGUGGCGAGUGGCGAACGGGUGAGUAAUACAUCGGAACGUACCCAGUAGUGGGGGAUAACGCACCGAAAGGUGCGCUAAUACCGCAUACGACCUACGGGUGAAAGCGGGGGACCGUAAGGCCUCGCGCUAUUGGAGCGGCCGAUGUCUGAUUAGCUAGUUGGCGGGGUAAUAGCCCACCAAGGCGACGAUCAGUAGCUGGUCUGAGAGGACGAUCAGCCACACUGGGACUGAGACACGGCCCAGACUCCUACGGGAGGCAGCAGUGGGGAAUUUUGGACAAUGGGGGCAACCCUGAUCCAGCAAUGCCGCGUGUGCGAAGAAGGCCUUCGGGUUGUAAAGCACUUUUGUCAGGGAAGAAAUCUUUUGGGCUAAUACCCCGGAAGGAUGACGGUACCUGAAGAAUAAGCACCGGCUAACUACGUGCCAGCCGCCGCCGUAA